AUUCCCUUAAGCCGUUUCCCUUUUAUUUUCUCAAGUUCUAUCACUACAUCUCUCCAAUCCCCAUUCUUUCAUGAAAUUGGAGUUUCCUAACUUACUGAACCCUUGCCUUCCAUCUCUAAUCUCAACAAGGUAAGAUUUAGGGUUUCAAAUCUGUAUACUGAUCUUUUAUUUCUUGAAAUCGUCUUCUUCUCCACCGCCAUCUUUUGCGAAGAAUUAUAGAGAUGAAGUUUUAAGAGGAUGCGAAAGAUCAUCAGGUAUACAUACACAAUUCACCCCCUCUGAUUCGUUAAUAUUAUCAUCUCAACUCAAUAGAUCAUCUGUAAUGACGAUCUAAACCUAAUUCUGUGUCGUUUUGUUGUUUUUGCUUUUUUUAAUCAGAUUCAAUAAGAUUAUUAUGUUUUUGUGAGAUUACGUCGUUUUGUUGUUUUUGGUUUUUUAAUCAGAUUCAAUAAGAUUAUUAGGUUUUUGUGAGAUUACGAUUGAGGAUUUGUGUUUGGAUUGGCAUCGGGAUUGAUUCAUGGAGAAAUCGAUGAGAGAUAGAGGAAAAUGAUGCCGUAAUUAGCGGUUGAUUGUCGAACGACGUCGUAUGGAGUAGUUUCUUCGAGUGGAUUUUGGUAUGUUGCCUCAUCAGGGUAUUUUUUUAAUUAUUUUUAUUGUGUAUUUAUCAUAGUUAUUGGAUUUAACCUUUUUUAUAAGUUUUUUUAUGUUGAAGGCUAUACUUCCGACAAGUUGAUCCUGAGCAAGUUGUUAGGCGUUGUUCAUCUCGAACGAUAUCUCUACAGAGCUGGUGCAAGUUGCAAGAUCAGGGAAUGUAAGCAGGCAUCUGUGGCAUGAAAAGAAAAAGACGCGGAUGAAAUGAAAAGGAUGUGAUUCAGAUAGAUGUGAGGCUACUUUGCUCUGCUGUGACCGUCUAUGAGAGGUCCAUAGUGCAUGGCUGCCACCUUGGCUUGCAGCCCGUUUGGCUGGUUUUCAGCUGUCAGGGAACAAUGGGUGUUGGUGGUAACUAACGUCGAACCGCAACUACAAUCAUUAACCAAGAAGACCAAAGAGGUUUAUAUUCAGUUUAAGAAUGCUAUAACUCCACCUGUGAUCAAAAUUAAGGAAAUUGUAGACC